GUAAGACUUGUGAAGGCAGUGAACGAGGCAACUGCGAACAUUCCUGGAUGGGACACAGAAUAACUAUCAGCCGAGAUUGGAGUAAAAUCUUCAAACUUCGACNUGAACGAGGCAACUGCGAACAUUCCUGGAUGGGACACAGAAUAACUAUCAGCCGAGAUUGGAGUAAAAUCUUCAAACUUCGACAUCUGAUGAAGAUUAAUGACACUUUAUGGAUCGACUUGUUUAUGUGGCCGUCACAAGUGACUAUACAUACAGCUACAUACUAGAUGGAGAACAAUGCCAGACAGAAGAAAUGUUUAUUGUCAGACAGACACCUCUUAAUAGCAGAACGAUGAAUUUUGAAAUUCUUUUGUAUACAGAAGUUACCUUUGUAAUUUGUUUUUUUUUUAUAUUUUGCCUUUUCUUGAAGCUUUCAAUAUUCAGUCUCCUCUUUUUUAUUAGUCAGGAUUUUUUGAAAUACUCAUAAUGUCGUGUACUGAUUAUAUGUAAGUUGUAGGGAAGGUUUUGGUAAUCCUUAAGGUCUCAGAACCUAUUUAAAUAAUUUAGUAAAACGUGAUUUCCUUUUGAGCCUAUAUGGAUAA
rnacentral:lncRNA from 1 species